rnacentral:rRNA from 1 species
UUUAAAUUUAGAGUUUGAUCCUGGCUCAGGACGAACGCUGGCGGCGUGCUUAACACAUGCAAGUCGAGCGAUGAAGCUUCCUUCGGGAAGUGGAUUAGCGGCGGACGGGUGAGUAACACGUGGGUAACCUGCCUCAAAGUGGGGGAUAGCCUUCCGAAAGGAAGAUUAAUACCGCAUAAUAUAAGAGAAUCGCAUGAUUUUUUUAUCAAAGAUUUAUUGCUUUGAGAUGGACCCGCGGCGCAUUAGCUAGUUGGUAAGGUAACGGCUUACCAAGGCAACGAUGCGUAGCCGACCUGAGAGGGUGAUCGGCCACAUUGGAACUGAGACACGGUCCAGACUCCUACG